rnacentral:piRNA from 1 species
GAUAAAGGAGAAACAAGGUGGCAAUGUGGC